AUUGAACGCUGGCGGCAGGCCUAACACAUGCAAGUCGAACGAGUGGCGGACGGGUGAGUAAUGUAUGGGAAACUGCCUGAUGGAGGGGGAUAACUACUGGAAACGGUAGCUAAUACCGCAUACCAUCAGAUGUGCCCAGAUGGGAUUAGCUUGUUGGUGGGGUAAAGGCCUACCAAGGCGACGAUCCGUAACUGGUCUGAGAGGAUGAUCAGUCAAAUGGGAACGGAGCCAAGGUCGAGACUCCUAAGGUAGGCAGCGGUGGUGAGUAUUGAGCAAGGGGAGAGAGCCUGAUACAGCCAUGGCACGUGUGUGAAGAAGGUCUUCAGAUGGUAGAGCACUUUAAGUUGGGGGGCGUUAAGAAAAGAAUAGACACCGGCUAACUUCGUGCCAGCAGACGCGGUAAUAC
rnacentral:rRNA from 1 species